ACAGGCCUGCCCGGGUAAGGUGUAGUCAACCGCCCGGUAGUGUAAAGUUGAGUUGCGCAAGCAACAAGGCUGAUAAGCGAGUGUGGCGAGGUGAAGGGUGUAGCCCUGAAUCUGACACGUAGCUCCGAGAACUUAUAAUUUUGGGACCGUGCCGAUCCCAUCUCACCGGGCGCAGGCCAUGCGGCGGGCACGUUAAUGACGAGUGCAGCGUCGACACCCCGGGGUCUAAGACAG
rfam:Desulfobacterales bacterium S5133MH16 k99_425962, whole genome shotgun sequence.